rnacentral:rRNA from 1 species
GAUGAACGCUGGCGGCGUGCUUAACACAUGCAAGUCGAACGGGGUGCUCAUGACGGAGGAUUCGUCCAACGGAUUGAGUUACCUAGUGGCGGACGGUGAGUAACGCGUGAGGAACCUGCCUUGGAGAGGGGGACAACAGUUGGAAACGACUGCUAAUACCGCAUAAGCCCACGACCCGGCAUCGGGUUGAGGGAAAAGGAGCAAUCCGCUUUGAGAUGGCCUCGCGUCCGAUUAGCUAGUUGGUGAGGUAACGGCCCACCAAGGCAACGAUCGGUAGCCGGACUGAGAGGUUGAACGGCCACAUUGGGACUGAGACACGGCCCAG